ensembl:lncRNA
UGUGCUCCUCACGGUGUACUCCUCACGGUGUACUCCACGAGUGACCAUAGUCCUGAUGCGCUCCUCACGGUGUACUCCUCACGUGACCAUAGUCCUCAUGCACCGCACUCAAUGACAAAUCAUAUAGAAUAACUGCAUAACGUGUAUAGCACAGGGUACAGGUUUUCGUUCUGAUCCUGUCCCUCCCUCUACCCAUUGUGCUUCCUUAGAUACCCCAUGAGUAGGCCUAAGUAGGGUUGAUAUCUGUCUGAAGAUAUUGUCUGUGGGCGUAGAUCCAGUUCAGAUGAAGGAGACACUGCUUAGUCUGAGAGCACAACCACGAGAAGUGAUACCAUCGGAGUGCUAACUACACAAAAUUCUUGAAGAUCAAACUGCCAGUCAUCUCAUCCCUCAGGGGCUAUGAGUCAUCACUGUGAGAAGCUCAACCACGUGAUCCCGUCCUUCCAGAUCAGUCUGGACACUCAGCACAGUAGAAAUAAACAGUUUGUAAAGCCCAUGGGAGUAGCAGCAUUGUUUUAAUAGAGAGCGUUAGAGAGUCAGGUUGCAAAGAUGCUACUCAUGUUUGAUGAAAACAGCCAAUGUGACUAUUCUGUAAAGCCUGCUGGCAAAUUCAAGAGGUUGUGGGUGUGGUUUAUAAUUGUAUGUCAAAAUACAUGUAUUCUGGUGAAUAGGGUAUUCUGUAAGAGCUGUGAAGGCCAGUUUUCUCUGAUUCGGAAAUAAAUAAGCUUAGUGCCUGUGGAGUGUGGCCCCUGCCCUGCCAGGCCUUUGGAUGCCCAGAACUGUGAAUCCAAGCAUAGGCCUACAUAUAGUGAGAGGUAUAUUAAUUUAGUCACCUGCUCACUGGAACACAUUUGAUUGAGUUUGGUCAAUAAAAACACAGCCACGUAUAGAUCACAAACAGAAAUGAUUGACACUUUUCAUUAGGAUUGCAUCCUAAGGAAUUAAAACAUUUGAGUAUGUUGUCUUUCUUUUUGGUGCUAAUUUUGUCAUUAGUCAACAUUGUUUUAUUGUUGUCUCAUGUCGUAAAAUCUCAUUUUGAAAAAUCUUGCCAAACCAUCCAGACACUGGACAGUGACAAAUGCAGAGAAAGUGUGUUUGCACGUAAGAGGUGUGAGUACAAGUGUGAGUGUGGGUAUUCUGGGUUGCGCUAGGAAAUGAUCUUAGUAGUGCUGAUUUAGUGUUGGUUUUAUGCUGGGGUACCACUCUGACCAGAGGCUUGAUUUAAAUGAGUUAUUGGCAGCAGCACACAUAUACACUAAACUAGCAUACAAAGUAAGAAAGACUAAGUAUCCAAGUACAUUCAUCUCACAGCAUUUGCUUUUGAAGUGACUCUCACAUUUCAAGCAUUUUCACGCAGGACUGUGAUUUGUUUCAUCAGAGCACAACAUUGGUGCAGGCACUAGGCAGGGUUUGGCCGUUAUUAGGCUUUUACUUCACUGUGAGUAGGUCUUGUGAGAUAAGAUACAUGGUUGUGUUAAGAUAGGAAGAUGUGUGACUGUGGAGAACGUGUCUUCGUGUGGGACACAAUGACACAAUUCAAUGUUUAGUUUAGAUGAGAUUAUACAAUGUCAAGCAUAGGCUAGAUCAUUUAAGUAGGUAGAACAAUGGCAAGAUGGGAAUUUUUGUUGAAAUAAAAAGUUAUUUGCAUUGAGUGUUAUGUAAUAUUUUACUGUUUUAUGGUUUCACAGUAGCGGUUAAAUAUUAUAGCACCGAUCAUACACUAAAGACAAAGCAGAGUAAUUUCAGGUAGGUGUGUCAUCUUUUGUAAAAUUGAGGACCCCGUGAAGUAAUUUGUUACAAUCAGGUUGCCAUAACAACAGUCUUAUUUCACCAGCAGAGGGAAGCAUUAAGCUUUAAUGAGACUUUAAUGGAGGUCAUCCUAUAACCAUGCAUUCCAUAACCAACUAUAAUGUCAUAUGAAGCUGUAUGUUGCCUACAGUUUAUGUUUUUUUUUUUUU